UACAGAGGUCUCAAGCGUUGUUCGGAUUCAUUGGGCGUAAAGGGUGCGUAGGUGGCGCCGUAAGUCAGGUGUGAAAUCUCGGGGCUCAACCCCGAAACUGCACUUGAUACUGCGGUGCUCGAGUACUGGAGAGGAGAUUGGAAUUUACGGUGUAGCAGUGAAAUGCGUAGAUAUCGUAAGGAAGACCAGUGGCGAAGGCGAAUCUCUGGACAGUUACUGACACUGAGGCUCGAAGGCCAGGGGAGCAAACGGG
rnacentral:rRNA from 1 species